rnacentral:rRNA from 1 species
AGUGAACGCUGGCGGUAGGCCUAACACAUGCAAGUCGAACGGCAGCACAGUAAGAGCUUGCUCUUACGGGUGGCGAGUGGCGGACGGGUGAGGAAUACAGCGGAAUCUACUUUUUCGUGGGGGAUAACGUAGGGAAACUUACGCUAAUACCGCAUACGACCUACGGGUGAAAGCAGGGGAUCUUCGGACCUUGCGCGAUUGAAUGAGCCGAUGUCGGAUUAGCUAGUUGGCGGGGUAAAGGCCCACCAAGGCGACGAUCCGUAGCUGGUCUGAGAGGAUGAUCAGCCACACUGGAACUGAGACACGGUCCAGACUCCUACGGGAGGCAGCAGUGGGGAAUAUUGGGCAAUGGGCGCAAGCCUGAUCCAGCCAUCCCGCGUGGGUGAAGAAGGCCUUCGGGUUGUAAAGCCCUUUUGUUGGGAAAGAAAAGCAGCAGGUUAAUACCCCGCUGUUCUGACGGUACCCAAAGAAUAAGCACCGGCUAACUUCGUG